CGACACAAAGGCGGCAUGGAGAAACUUUUCAGCCCGAGCCGACGGCGGGCCGCGGGGACAGCGGCGCGGGGGCCCCGGGGCGCGCGCGGCUCAGCGGCCCGGCACGGGCGAGUGUCCCGGCCGGGCUAGCGGCCCCCUCCGGCGCCGUGGCGGGAGCCAUUUCCAAGAGUUUCCAAGAAGUGCCGGGUCCCCGGCGGCGUCCUGCGUCCGCUCCAGCCGGCCCCUCCGGCGCUCCGCCUCCCGCGCGCCGCGUUCCCUCCCGCGGCGCUCCCUGGCCGCCGUGAGCCCGCUUGGUCCCCGGCCUCGCGCCUCUUUUGUGUGGCUUCGGCGCGCCGGGCUCCGCCGGGUGGAGUGAAGCUCGGGGCGGCCGGACUGGCGGCUGUUGCUAAGAGACCGGAGCCAUGACACAGGGAGAUUGCGGCAGGAUGGCAGUCGCUACCGGCCCGGAUCGGCGGCUCGGGGGCGCCCCCGCCCGCUCCUCCGGGCCCCCCUCCGCGACCGUCCCCGCGUCUCCGCUGCUUUUCCAGCCCGCCGGCCGCCCGUCCCUUCGGAAGCCAGGCGCCUGGGAGCUGGGGCGCGAGGGCAGGCGCGGAGGCAUCGCCGCGGGGCGCAGGGCGCCCCACCUUCCCGCCCGGGUCGGCUGGUUCGUCGCUGCCCACGCUGGCAGCUCGCUGCUUUCCCCAACUACCUGUCUGCGUAGCCCGAGGGGCCCCCAGGCCCGGCCCGCCUCUCCCGGGCGUCCCCCACCGCACCCGGGAGCGCUCUCCGGGGAGCCCGGCGGUGCCCCGUGCCUCUCCCCCUGGGCCUCUCUCUGCGCUUUUGUGGCCUCCACCCCGCGACGCGACACAGCCUUGGCGGAGUCACCCCUCCCACCCGGGAGUUUGCAGUGUGGACGCCCGCCCGCGAGCGAGCACAGAUCUACAUGGGGCCUGUGUGCACCACGGCACUCAAGGCAGGGUUCCAGGACCAGCCACUGUGAUUAAACCGCCCCAUCCACAGAACAGAGGCCCAGAGCCACUCCAGGAAGCCCACUUUGGAGGGCAAAGACGCUUUCUCCAUUGAAAUUUGCAGAAUCACAACCAAGAGGAUAUUCUCCAGACCAGAGAUCUGAGGACUCCAAGAAAGCACUGCCCGGGCCGUAUCUACACGAGCAGAAAGAAGUCACCACCCCAGGUGGGGCUGAGGACACCGAAUCUCCCAUUCUUCCCCUUUUGGCCUCCUCUCUCUUCAUGUCCUGUCAGGAAAAAAUAAAAUCAUAAAAAGCAUGACAAAAGAAAACAGUACACUAAGCACACAGCUGGAGUCACCAGGGUUAACAAACUAGCGUUUUAGCAGGGCAUACAUCUACCAAACAAACUAUUUGCUGUUGUCUGAAAUGGAAGCUUACCUGGGCAUCCUGCAUUCAGGGUGUAAGACAACUAUGAUGUACCUUGGUUGCUUCACAAUUUUGUCAUGGUACUCUUAAAGGCCGAAGAGCCUGAGAAAACAGAAAAUGUGCAGUGCAGUGGUGGACUGAAGCCUCUGUAACGAUCUAGAUCUAACGUGUCCCCCAAAAGUUUCAUGUGUUUGGAAGAUGAUUGGAUCAUGGGAUGCUAUACUCCUGAGUGGAACUAUCCUUUCAUAAGUUCAGAAAUUCAUACUCUAGGAGGCGGGGCCUAGCUGGACGGGUGGAUCACCAGGGCCCCUCCCUUCUCUCUCUCUGCUUCCUGGCCAUCAUGGGCUGGGCAGCUUCCCUCUGCCAUGCCAAUCCACCAUGCCCAUUUCUGCCUUGCAGCCAGCUAGCCGUGGACUGAACCCGUGAAAACUGUGAGCCAAAUAAUCCUCUUUUCCUUUCAUUUCUGGAUGUCCCGGUGCUGGGCAAGUGACUAGUACAGCUUCAUUCAUUUUCUGGGAAUAGAAUCAGCAGGAAGAGAAGAAACUUAGCUCAGGAUGAAUGGAGCAGCCCCAGAGUGCACGUUUACUAAUGGGCCGAGUGAAGCCUUAGGGCUUUUCCUAGGUAGAGGUUACAUGGUUUUCACCUGCAGCUUUUCCCCACAGGACGCUGCUGGCUAGAGGGACAGGUGCUUGCCUCUGCCUCCAAUCCCUAGGGCCCCACAAAUGAAUCUCUGAAGAGAGAGAACUCAGCUUCACUUUCAAGAACUACGGUUUGGAAAGCAAAGAUAAAGUCAAACCAGUGUGGAGGUCAUGACCGGGCCCCUUUCUUGUGCUUAUGAGAGAUAUCCAAGAAGUUCAAACCCAAGCCCUUUCAACUCAAAGCCCAGGAUAAAGAAAUAAUACAAAGUCUAAGCGCCUUCCUUAGAGCACACCUGACAGGGUUUUCUACCUCUGUGCCAGGUAAGUGGAUGUGGCAGUGUCAGCCUCCGUUUCUGUCUCCAGUCCUGUUCAUUCUUAUUAUUACAAAUAACCCCACUCUGAAUUGCAGGCCUACCAGAAGGUUGUUUUCUCUAACAAGUGGGUUCAUUCUCUGUACAUUCAAUUUUCCCAAAUAGCCUGAAUUUUCUACUGUUUUCCAUAAACAACGUCAAAGUGGGAUUCUGUGCCUUGCAGAGUAAUUUGAGGCCUGAGAUGAAGAUCUAGAAAGGGCGGCAGGCUUGAAAGCAGAUCAAAGAUGAGCUUGGAAAGGGCUUUGCCGAGAGGGCGACCUCAGUGGAGCCGCCAGGAAGAGCCCAUAGCUAUGUUUCGCCUGUGUUCCCAAAGUGCAUCCAGUGUCCACCCUGACAUUCAUAUUGUUUUGUAUAAUCUACGGUGUGGUGGACAGAUGACUUUUCCUACUGAGAGCUCAAUAAACUAUAACUUACUUCUCUGAUCUUUCAAAAUUAAUUGUGAUGGGAGAGUGGUGUCUGAAAACGAUCAAGACGUAUGACGUAUCUCAAAUAUACACGGAUAAAAGAGAAGCAUCACUGAGAGAAGAGCUGCUUUGGGUAUGAAGCAGAAAAGAGGAGCUAGCUUUGGAAAGUAGCAGAUGACAAGAGCCCAGGAUCUUGGUACCUCCUGGGACCACAACUGAUUCACCCAAGAGCAUUUUGUUAGACACCUCUUUCAGGUGUGCACACAAAAGCCCUGUCUCCUGGUGGGUAGAGAGGGGCUGCAGCGAGAAAAUAAGUGAGAGAGUGAGAAAUGUUUCGCUCUUGCUACGUGGUAUGGAGACAUUUAAAGAGCGGCCUGGGGCUGCUCAGAAGGGGCAGUGAGAGAGAAUGAAUUAGAUUGGGCGUCCAGGGAAGGCCUCCCGAGGAGUGAUGUUCCACUGAGAGGGAGAGCUGAAAACGAACCAUUUGAAGUUGUUCGUGUGAGAAGAAAAUAGUUAAAGGACAUGGCCUUAUUAACCUAUUGUCCAGUUCGGUCUGGCAGAGAGUCAGUGACAAGUACAACACCAGAGGGGAGAAUCUUUAAGUGCUGGAGGCCUUUAGAAAACACACAUAAAACUGGGAUACGGUAACAGAACGUACUUGAUCCUAGUCUUUGCUGUCUGUGACUCAUGUGUGUGUGUGUGUGUGUGUGUGUGUGUGUGUGUGUGUGUGUAUUGGUGGGGGGGGGAACAUUUAGCUUUCAAGUAUCUUUCCAGUUGUGACCCCAGAGAUAGCUGACACCUGAGGCGAAUUCCGAAUGUGUGUGUCUUACAUGGGGAAGUUAUAGCUUCCUGGCUUUUGCAGGUCCUGCCCCGUCUAGAAAAUAGGCCUGGUGGGUGUUGGGCCUGACUUUAGCUUCUAAAGACCCUCUUUAUUCUCGGAAUAAUCCUUAGAUCCAGGCCAUUCACACUCAGGUAACCAUGCCCCUCCCAGCCUUGUUAUGUUGAGCAGGCUACUGAAGUCUGAACAUAGCUGUGGUGUCUGUAAGAAGCCCCUUAUAGCUCCCCUCUCUCAAGGUAGUUGUAAGGAGAAGAUGGGGCGAGGCGGUUGUGGCCCCGUCAUCUCUGCAGAGCGCCCCUAGUUGAAUAGAUGGAAGGCAGAGCUGCAUACUUGCUGCACAUACUCCCCUCCGUGUGCAUCACUGCCCCUACACCUACUCCGUAAAUCAUGCAGCCACCACCAGACUCAGCUUGGGAUGUGGGCCCUGAGGUCUGCAGCUUUCUCUUUCAGAUGUUAGCGGUCAUGGUGGUGAUGGUGAGGACCUCAGGAGCGCUUGUUUCCUGUCUCGCCCCUCCCUGGUCCUGGAGAUGCAGUGCUGUUGACAGCAAUGCCAUGCCAUGUCCUGACCUUGUGGCGAGAGGAAAAGGAAGCAGGACAGCCUGAGCCCCCAGCAUUCACGGGUCUGGAGAAGUGCUAGAAGGAUUUCCAUUCGGUGCUCUGUGUGCAAGGCGUGGGAAGACCUUGGUGCUGCGGGCUGACAUGCCAGGACCCCUGACCUGUGUCCGGCUUUGGUGACAGCUGAAGGAGUGACAUGAUCAAGACCUAGCCCGGCGUGGCUGCCAACCUACGCGCCCUGGGAGAACAUAAGGAAGACAUCUCCGGUGUCACAAAUGCACCGGACUGACCCUAAAGCAAACUUGGAAUCGAAGGAGAACAAUUUGAAGAGACUCUUUGCCUCAGGAGAAGACCCAUGAAAGAGGAGUGGCCCAGGUGGCAGGAGACCCACAGAGUGUGCAGGAGGCUGAAGCAGCCUGGCCCAGCACCUUGUCCUCUGCAGAGGCCCCUGUCACUCACCAAGUCCAGCACCACACCUAGGUCACCCUGAGCACCAAGCCAGUGUGGGCAGUCGAGGGACAUCCCUGGGCAGCUUUCCUGUCACCCUGGACUGUGCUGGUCAUCAGCUGGGCACUCUGUUCCCUGUGGUGUGAGGAUUUGGUCCACACCGUCCACACACUGCCCAUCCUCCCUGGUCACUGCAGAUGCAGGCGGUGACCCUACUGGGUGAGGCUGGCAGUGCAGUGCAAGGCGACUGCCCUCAGGGAGGUCUGCUAGCACCAAACAGAGCCAGAUCAUUAGGAAAACACUGAAGUGCAAAAGGGGAGAAGGGCAGGUUUGGCCAGUGCCAUUUUCACCACUGUUGGCUGCUUCUCUACUAGUAGAGUAGCUGGCUGUGUGGCUUCAAUGUCAAGAUUACUGAGUUCAAAGCCUGUGUCUCCCUGUGUGGCCCUUGCACAGGUGACCCCAGCUAUGGGUGCCAAGCUCUGUGGCUGUGAAAGGAGGGCCCACUUCGCAGCAUGCCACCAGAGUGCACACGAGGGAAAGGGCUGCUGUGUUCUCAUUGCUGUCUCUGUCAUUCCUGUAAGGGACAUGGAGAGCCUGCUUCACACUUGGUCCUGAGACUCUCGGGGAAGGCAGAAGACCCUGCAGAACUUCAGGGUGCAGCUCUGUUUUCUGGCUCUGCUCUCUCAGCAGGGAUAAACCUUUCCGCAGAACUCUCCCUGCUGCCAUAAAAUGCCCUCUCUGCAGACUGGGACAUCCCCAGAUGCCAGGCAGACGGUGGCUCCGUGCCCUGUGCCCUCAACGCUCUGGUGGCGCCAAGGAGUUCUGCGUUCAGGUAGAAGGAACAGGAGACACUGUCAGCUUCCAGUCUGCAGGAGAGAGACCGGGAGGAGAGGGGAGAGGGAGAGGCAGUCCUGCCCCCAUCCCACCUCUCUCCCCAUGGCCUCUCACUGCUGCCUUCCACCUUGCAGUACCUGACCUGCUGAGUGAGCUCAGCCCCUGCCACAUUAGUUACACAAGCGUUUCCCGAGAGACAAGCUGAAGCUGUCCUGCUCACCUGCUCCUCUGAGCGCAUCCUGGAGGCUGUGAGAUAGGCCGCAUGCAGAGAGAAAGCAUUGUUCUGCAACCUGCUCUCUCCUCAGGGGUGAGAAGGAAGCAGGGGAAAAAGAAAAAGAGGAAUUAUUGACCCCUUUGUUUUCUCUUUGAAAAAUGUAAUGGAGCUCUGAAGCCAGUUCAAGUGAUGCGGGGACAAAUUUUGAAUAAAGGGUGAUCUUGACUUGACACUCACUCCCUGGUGUCCUUCCUGGGAGUCAGGCUUUCAGGACCACAGGUCGCAUCUGCAGGGGUUGAUCUGCAGGUUUUGCAUUUCUAGGGUGACACUGGGACGUUUCUCACUGCCGGGGCACCAGACAACACUGUGAUAGCAGAAGUGAGCUGCAUCUGUCCUGUCCAUGCAGAGCCCCAGCCACGCCUGGCUGUGCCCCGGCAGCUGAGUGACUUCACCUCAGAUUUCCCUAAGGUGCUUAAAUUUAAGUGGGUGAAUGUGAUUAGUGUAUGGGGUACAGGUUAGUGCUCAAAACACUAUCACAGCAGCACUAGGACCAGCCACAACAUACUAGACUGUGUCACCCAGCCACAAGAAGGAAGAGGGUGACCGGCAAGACCUUCCUGUCCCCAGUGGGAACUUCUGCUCCUGGCUGUGCCCGGUCACCACCUUUGGCUCCACCGGCCAGCUGAGGGACUGCAGCCUGCUCUCUCCAGGGAGAAUGAGGUUGAGAUGACAGAAGAACACGCAUCACCUCCUGGGCUAGGUACUGUUCCCACUCGGAAGCUCUCCCUUCCGGUACGGACUCAGCGAGAGGGUGACCUGGAGCGCUAAGCGGAGGGGUAGAUGGGAGCUGGUGUUGGGGUGCUGGGGUGUUGGUGAGGUCAAGAGGCUGGAAAGCAGUGCAGAAUCUGCAGCUGGGUGGCCACAUCCUGGUUCAGGAUUUGGGGACACAGGCUCAGGAGUUGAUGUGAGUUCCCAAUCCAAGAGAGAGGGAGGCCCCAGAGCCAUGUGGGAGCAGACCACGAGCAUGAGAGGACCAGGAGGGACCUCUGUCCCAGGCCAGGAAUGGGGGAGAAAAAGGAGAGAACAGGUGGUGGGGCCUGGCUCCUGGGCUGGGUGCAUGCAUUCCAUCUCUUGGGUCCCAGGACAGCAGGGCAC
ensembl:lncRNA